CAAUCGAGGCGGAGCAGAAUCAACUGACCAAUCAGCGUUUUGUUUGCCCACCACGCUGCCAACGUUGGCUUGCGUGUGACGUCAUUGAUCAUGAACUCCACCGUGAGGAACAGAUAGACGGAAAAAACAAAGUCGGAAAAGUUAGUGGAAAUAUAGAGUAAAAUCAUCGUUUGAGUCGUCGCUUCAUCGCCUCGAUUUGUUAGCACUGCAAGAAACCCCAUUACUGAAAGAGUCUGGAUGCUAAAACAAGCUUUGAAGCUGUUAUUGUCGAACAGGAGUGGGACGCUAGCACACGAAGGUCUACUUGUUCAGCUGCUGCAGCCGUAUCUUAAAGAUCAAAGAGGACUCAAACUUCAGCCACCAGAUCAGAGCAAGAAGAGACAUUUAGAUUUACAGGACUCAAACUUCAACCAGAAAAUACUUCAGCUUGUAAAGAAAACAUGAAGACAUUUACAGAAGUCCAGAACUUCAUCUGCGCUGUUGUUGUCAUCUUCGUCACAGUCUUCUCCUCCUCCCCCUGCAGAGACACAGCAUGUUAAUAACAGAAUUUCAUAUUCUAAACUGUUCUAUUAUUGAUUAGUUAUAUUUUGUUAUAGAUCACUACUACUGUUAGAGUACUUUUAUAUUCUCCAUUACUUUGGUAGUUACAAAUGAUUACGGUUAUUGCAGAUUAUUUUAAAUUACAGAAAUAACAAAAAUUAAUAUUACUAUUAAUAGUUUCGUUGUUAGAGUACGUUUAAAUUCUACACUGCUGUUGUAGUUACAUUUUCCUUUGAAAUUACGGUUAUUUUUAAAGAUAACUUGUAUUGUUACAGUGUACUUCUAUGUAUUUAAUGUUUAUUUCCUAUGAGGGAUGAGAGAUAG